CGCUYGUCUCAAAGAUUAAGCCAUGCACGUCUAAGUACUCGCCUUGGUCUAUUUAAAGUGAAACCGCGAAUGGCUCAUUAAAUCAGUUAUGGUUCACUGGACCGUACCACAUCCUACUCGGAUAACUGUGGUAAUUCUAGAGCUAAUACAUGCAACUAGGCCCUGCCCGGCCGCUCCGUCCGUCAAAACGACGGUCGGUCGGAAAGGGCGCCAUUAUCAGCUCAAAACCGACCGGGUCGCCCGCCGUCCUCUGGACGGGCAGGGCUCCCGUUCUCGUUGACCCUUUGACGACUCUGGAUAACCUCCUAGCGGAUCGCCGGUCAAACUUAGGUCGGCCGGGUGUUUCGGCAUCCGCGCCCGACCUAACGGCGACUGGUCUUUCGAAUGUCUGCCUUAUCAACUGUCGACGGUAGGUUAGACGCCUACCGUGGUCGUAACGGGUGACGGGGAAUCAGGGUUCGAUUCCGGAGAGGGAGCCUGAGAAACGGCUACCACAUCCAAGGAAGGCAGCAGGCACGCAAAUUACCCAAUCCCCGAACGGGGAGGUAGUGACGAAAAAUAACGAUACGGGACUCUUAACGAGGCCUCGUAAUCGGAAUGAGUCCGCUCUAAAUCCUUUUAACGAGGAUCUAUCGGAGGGCAAGUCUGGUGCCAGCAGCCGCGGUAAUUCCAGCUCCGAUAGCGUAUAUUAAAGUUGCUGCGGUUAAAAAGCUCGUAGUUGGAUUUGGGUUUUCGGGCCGGCGGGCCGCCGCCUUCGAGCGGCGCGUCUCCCGCCGCGCCCCCGGAACCGCACGGUCGCAGAGGCCCCCGCGGUGCUCUUGAGUGAGUGUCCGCCGGUUCGGGUCGCCGAACGUUUACUUUGAAAAAAUUAGAGUGCUCCAGGCAGGCCGGUAAAGCGUUGUUUAAAAAAGACCCGCGCCUGAAUAGUCACGCAUGGAAUAAUGAAAGAGGACCGGUGGUCCUAUUUUGUUGGUUUUCGGGAUUUUCCGCCGUCAUGAUUAAGAGGGACGGCCGGGGGCAUUCGUACCGCGGCGCGAGAGGUGAAAUUCUAGGACCGCCGCGAGACGAACCGUUGCGAAAGCAUUUGCCAAGAAUGUUUUCCUUAAUCAAGAACGAAAGUCAGAGGUUCGAAGGCGAUCAGAUACCGCCCUAGUUCUGACCGUAAACGAUGCCACCUGACGAUCCGCCAGGGUUACUACCAUGACUCGGCGGGCAGCCCCCGGGAAACCCAAGCCUUCGGGUUCCGGGGGAAGUAUGGUUGCAAAGCUGAAACUUAAAGGAAUUGACGGAAGGGCACCACCAGGAGUGGAGCCUGCGGCUUAAUUUGACUCAACACGGGAAACCUCACCCGGCCCGGACACCGCGAGGAUUGACAGAUUGAGAGCUCUUUCUCGAUUCGGUGGGUGGUGGUGCAUGGCCGUUCUUAGUUGGUGGAGCGAUUUGUCUGGUUAAUUCCGAUAACGAACGAGACUCUAGCCGGUUAAGUAGCCCGGAGCGGUUUUUGAUCUUUGCCGUCCGUCCUCCGUCCUACCUUUUUUUUCCCGUCCUCGGCCGACCGGCCACGGAGGGAAAAGGGAAAGGCGAGGAGGUGGUCAUCCGUGGUGGUUUUUSUGUCCCGUGCACGUUCGCCUUUACCGGCGGGCGUCGUGCGGGCGGUACCCUCGGGGAAACCGUCGCUUCGUUUCCUCCCUCACCUUUCGCCCGCGAGGUCGAGACGGAAAGGGUGGUCGAGGCGGAAGCAUAACCGAAGGCCGCCGGCUUUUACAGGAAGCUUCUUAGAGGGACGAGCGGCGUUCAGCCGCCCGAGAUUGAGCGAUAACAGGUCUGUGAUGCCCUUAGAUGUCCGGGGCCGCACGCGCGCUACACUGAAGGGCUCAGCGUGCUCGUUUCUCCCGAGCCGACAGGCUCGGGGAACCCGUUGAAACCCUUUCGUGCUAGGGACAGGGACUUGCAAUUGUGUCCCUCCAACGAGGAAUUCCCAGUAAGCGCGAGUCAUCAGCUCGCGUUGAUUACGUCCCUGCCCUUUGUACACACCGCCCGUCGCUACUACCGAUUGAACGAUUUAGUGAGGUCUUCGGACCGGUGGCCGUUCCGAGGGCCGUCGCACCUUCACGGGUCGGCGGUUCGAUAAUUUAAAUUUUUUUUUUUUUUUUCUUUCGGGCCGCGCCGGCCGGAAAAAUCCCCAAACUUGAUCGUUUAGAGGAAGA
rnacentral:rRNA from 1 species